UACGUAGGUGGCAAGCGUUGUCCGGAAUUACUGGGUGUAAAGGGCGUGUAGGCGGGAAUGUAAGUCAGAUGUGAAAUCCCGGGGCUCAACCCCCGGAACUGCAUUGGAUACUGGAAAGCUAGAGGACGAUAGAGGAUGGUGGAAUUCCAGGUGUAGGGGUGAAAUCCGUAGAUAUCUGGAGGAACAUCAGUGGCGAAGGCGGCCAUCUGGAUCGUACCUGACGCUGAGAUACGAAAGCGUGGGGAGCAAACAGG
rnacentral:rRNA from 1 species